AUGCGGAGGGUGCAAGCGUUAUCCGGAAUCAUUGGGUUUAAAGGGUCCGCAGGCGGAUUAAUAAGUCAGUGGUGAAAUCCUCUCGCUCAACGAGAGAACUGCCAUUGAAACUGUUAGUCUUGAAUUCGGUCGAAGUAGGCGGAAUGUGUCAUGUAGCGGUGAAAUGCAUAGAUAUGACACAGAACACCGAUAGCGAAGGCAGCUUACUAGACCUGGAUUGACGCUCAUGGACGAAAGCGUGCGGAGCGAACAGGAUUAGAAACCCCAGUAGUCC
rnacentral:rRNA from 1 species